UUAAGAGUGAACAAAAAAACU
rnacentral:piRNA from 1 species